GACAGAGGUCCCGAGCGUUAGGCGGAAUCACUGGGCUUAAAGCGUGUGUAGGCGGAUCGUUAAGUGCCUUGUGAAAUCCCACGGCUUAACCGUGGAACUGCUUGGCAUACUGGCGGUCUUGAGCAACCUAGGGGCAAGCGGAACAAAUGGUGGAGCGGUGAAAUGCGUAGAGAUGUGGAGGAAUACCGAUGGCGAAGGCAGCCCCCUGGGCCAAUACUGACGCUCAUGCACGAAAGCGUGGGGAGCAAACAGG
rnacentral:rRNA from 1 species